ensembl:snoRNA
GUGUUCUUAAAUGCUAGAGAAAACUGUGGCUCCUAACCAUUGCCCGGCCUCCGUGCCUGUGGGCUGCUGGCACUGAAGUGGGUCAUACAGUG